GGUCCAGCCUGCCCUGUGACUAUAUGUUUAACGGCCGCGGUAUUUUAACCGUGCGAAGGUAGCGCAAUCACUUGUCUUUUAAAUGAAGACCUGUAUGAAUGGCACAACGAGGGCUUAACUGUCUCCUUUUUCAGGUCAAUGAAAUUGAUCUCCCCGUGCAGAAGCGGGUAUAUAUACAUAAGACGAGAAGACCCUAUGGAGCUUUAGACACCAAGGCAUUUCAUGUUAAACACCCUUUUACAAUAGGCUAAACCAAAUGAACCGUGCCCCUAUGUCUUUGGUUGGGGCGACCGCGGGGAAACAAAAAACCCCCACGUGGAAUGGGAGCACUGCCUCCUACAACCAAGAGCUGCAGCUCUAGUAAACAGAAAUUCUGACCAUCAGAUCCGGCAAUGCCGAUCAACGGACCGAGUUACCCUAGGGAUAACAGCGCAAUCCCCUUUUAGAGCCCAUAUCGACAAGGGGGUUUACGACCUCGAUGUUGGAUCAGGACAUCCUAAUGGUGCAGCCGCUAUUAAGGGUUCGUUUGUUCAACGAUUAAAGUCCUACGUGAUCUG
rnacentral:rRNA from 1 species